rnacentral:lncRNA from 1 species
AGUUCUAUUCUCUAACUUACCUGUGGUUCAUGUAUAUGCAGUAAAUACGACCUCGGCUAAAGAUCCUCGCUUGUACGAAUGUCCGGUCUAUAAGAAACCCCGGCGUACUGACCUUACAUAUAUAUUUUGUCUGAAUCUAAAGACCCUACAACAUCCUGAUCACUGGAUACUUCGUGGUGUCGCGUUGCUGUGUGAUACAAAAUAAGGUACGCUCACUUAGAACAAAACAUAACUUGUUUCAAAAUGUUAUCAUUCGAACUUUCUGUUCACGUUUUCAUAUACUGUUGCAAAAGUUAUAAAUAAUUGUGUAUAGUUUGAAAUGUAAAUACUAUGGAAAAUUCUAAUAUAUUUUUCUUGUUCGUGUUCAUUUUGCUUUUUUCGAAAACUUACUGGUAAGGGGUUCUUGCUUAUUUUUCCACAUUUUUCCAAAAUGACAAAACGGGGGGAAAUGUACAAAACGUUAUUAGGGGUUAACACCUUAACUUUUUUGCCAGUUUUUUUCAAAAAAUCGGACUCUCAGAGUAAGGCAACCCUAUUUUUUUAAAAUGGUGUGUAUAUUUCUAAUUGUUUUUGAGUUCAUCCAGAUCUUUUUUAGUUCGUCUCAUUCAAAACAACUCUUAAAAUUAUAUAUUAAACUAUUACCGAUUUGUCAUAUCUUGCUUAGUUCUCGAAAUAUUAAGACCGAAAUUAAUGAGCUGUCCGCCAAUCUUGGACUAAUUCUUGACCUCAUUAACUAUGGUUUUGAUGACGUCAAGAGUUGGGUUAACCGUAUAAAACUACUAUAAAAUGACCGAGUAACAUUCAAAAUUGUUUGAAAUGUUUUUAAUCAUUUCUAAAUUUCAGACAGAAAUCAGAAACGAGGUUUUAGACCCUUAUUAAUCGCUAACUCUCCACAUAAAAAAAUUGGCGUGACCCUCUCUUGACGUAACAUGCAUAUCCUCAAUAAUCCAAGACAGGGGACAGCUCACUUUUUUCAGUCGAAAUAUUUUGAAAACUAAGCAAGAUAUACACUGGUAAACAAUCUGUUAAGCCCCAAAAAUUAAAGGCCUGAGCCUUUACUUUUUGGCACGCAAAAGAUGAUGAAAAAGUAAAGUCUUAUCCCUUAAUAUUUCCUUGAUAUUUUUUUAUUGCCAAUGUGCUUUAAUUUUUUAAAAUGAAAUUGGUGAUGAGAGAUCUACUAGUCGAGUGGUAGUCUUCUGAUGUUGCACGAGGGAGAACUACGGAUAUAUGCCUGUUGUAGCACAGUUAAGUUGUAAUAAAGACCAUUUUAAUGUCAGUACAUCGUUAUUUUAAAAUUAAUUCUACCCGAGACGAGAAGGAGUUAAGUACAAUAAAAAGAACUUAAAGUAGCUGGCGGCGAGAUAGUCUAGUGGAAAGGACGAAGUGGUGCAAGUGUUUGAAGAAACUGUAUCGAUUCCUGAUUGUAUCAAAAAGCAUUUUGGGUUUUACAGUCAAUUUCAGCUGACUUUUCAUCGUAAGAUUCCGAACUUCGUUCCGAACUUCGCAAAUUCGUUGCCAAGUUCAAAAGUUGAUAAUUGAUUACAGAAGUUGAUAACAGAUUGACGUUAUUUCGCAAAACGUCUAACGUCAAACCGCUGGAAAUGCCGUGAUAUUUUUCCCGCCGUUUUUUUUUGCGUUUUGCUUCACGUUUUGAACGUCUGGCUACGUCUCUAGAGGUAAGGCGAUUACUUCAAGAUAUGAAGGAGCGAGGUUUAGCAAAGAACGACGCGACGUCAACGAGGACGUGAAAAUGGCGUAAAAAUGGCGUGAUAUGCCCAUCUAUGGAUGUGCCCACGCCAUUUUCACGCCAUUUUCACGUCCUCGUUGACGUCGCGUCGUCUUUGCUAAACCUCGCUAAUGAAAUUCACAAACAGGUUUGUAAACAAAGCCUUUGAUUGGCUAUUAAAUCAAACCAGCCAAUCAAAUGCCCAGUUUAAAAACCUGUUUGUGAAUUUCAUCAUGAACUUUUGAACUUGGCAACGAAUUUGCGAAGUUCGGAACGAAGUUCGGAAUCUUACGAUGAAAAGUCAGCUGAAAUUGACUGUAACAAGGGUAUAUGAAUUAAUUAUCGGAUCGAAGGUCUAGUGGAAGGACGAAGUGGUGCAAGUAUAUGAAUUUUCUUGUUUCAUCCUUUGUGACUUUGUCCGCUAUCACUUAGAUAUGUUUUCAGUUGAUGUUUAUAGCAAAUAACUACAUUCAAUUGUUUAGGUAUUUGGUACAAACUAAACCGGGAUCAGUCCUCAAAGUCGAACCAGAUGAUAUGACAGGGAAGGAUAGUAGAGACUUGGAUUAUUUUUCAGACCAAACAGAAUUAUUUUUUUCGUACAUAAUGUAUAUAUAUAUUAUUAUAUAACAAUUAUGGGACUGUAAGUAUAUACAAUUAGAAUAUUUUAAUCUCUCUCUAUCAGUAUAUAUACGUUAGUUUUCCCUAUUUUUAGCACUGAUCUGUACUAAGGCAGGAUCGUCUUUUAAUAAGUUCGUGCUAAAAGUGAACCUUGGAAGUGAAACCGCCGCGAUCAUAGUUUUUGUGGGGUUUUUUUUUCUCUUUUAGAAGUUUGUAAUUGGGCCAAUUUUGUUACGUAUCACGCCAUACAAGCACACCUGGAUUCGGGAAGGAACAAUCAAGCCCGAAAUUAUAAAUUCUGAAUAAUUUUUGUAUUGACCAAUCAGGGAGAUUCUUUUGUAAAUACCAUCCAAUCAGAAGUCUGUAUUUAUUGAAACAGAAAUAAUAGAUUCCAGAAGAAUAAAUUAUAUUCAAAUUUAGGGCGGCUCUCAAUUUUCACUCGAAGUCUUCGCCUGUUAUUUGUACUUUAAAGAUCAAGAUAUGACGCUUAAAUACAGCAAAGAAGCACAAAAUCCGAAGUUAAAGGCAAGGUUAAGGUAUGUUCAUCAUUUUGAUGUGAAAUGUUGAUAUUUUAGCGAGUUAAAGUGGUUAUUAAAACUACUUGUCGAAGUUGACAAGCGCAAGUCGCUUCAUGUUCGUCGUUUGAUCGACGUUCGUUUUGUUCUGGCAUAUUACUGAAUUAUACCUUACGUUUCGUGAAGUUUAGUUUAAAUUAGUAGAGAGAAGAGUGCAUAAAGUAUUUAGGGUAUUUUUGAGCUACAUUUGUUUUAAAAUUUGUCAUUUUAGCGAAAACAAGAAAUGUCGAAAUUAUCCGAAGCCGAAUGUCGUCCAUGUGGUUGCUGCGAAGAGACAUCGUACAUAAUUUGUAUAAUAAAUGAUGGAUGACAAUGUGUGUCGCUGGCAAACCUACACCCCCUACUGCGGUAGGCAGUCAAGUAUUUUUAACCUGCACAUUUUUGUUUUUAUUUCCCGUAUUUUUAUUUUAUGUUCAUAAAUAUCAUGACCCAUGACUUUAAAGCUGGAAGAAGUUGAGAUUCCCCACUCAACUGCAUGCCUUCUGAACAUUAGACUCCAUUUUACAUGCUACCAUUUUACCAGUAAGAAUUUUUUGAAAAUUUUGAGAUUUGAAAGCUGUUUGCAUGAGCAGUGCCAUUUCAGUUUUAUUAUUUUUCCAAGGUCUCUGCGAUACUUCCAAUCAUUCAGCAUGAACAAAAGCAGUACAUGUAAAAAGAAAGGCGCCACUUUUUGGGUGUACUAUUUUUCUGUGUUGAAUGGCUGGAAGUGUUGCAGGUAUCUUGGGAUAUCUAAUAAAGUUGUGAUGUUAUUUCGGUGCUGUUUCUAUAAAGGGCAGCUUGCUAUGGCUAUAUGCCUUAGCCUAAAAAAAAUUCAGUUAUUUUUCAAAUAAAACAUUUUGGGUGCUGUUUCUAUAAAGGGCAGCUUGCUAUUACUAAAACUUUGUUUACUAUAUUCAGGGAUGCCUGUACUUUUCAAUCAACUGUACUUUUCGAUUGACUUUCCAAAUUACUUCACUGCUGUUUCUAUAUGGGACAGCUAUUACUAUCACUAUGUUUUAGACUGUCUAAUAAAAUAUAGACUAUGUCAUUUUUAUAAGGAUGACAUCUACAUACUAUAUUGCAAUGCUAUAUGCUUAAUAUUAAACUUCUGAAAUAGACAGCACAGUUUAUUGACAUUUCAAAUUUAGAAAAACCUAAGAUUCACUGCCCAUGUGUGUUUUAGUUACGAUGAAAGACAAGUAUAAAGUGCCGUUCAUGGCUUAGGGAUGUACUACAUUUUAUAAAAAUAUGCAGUAGUUUUACACAAAUAUAUAUAGUGUUUUUAAACUACAUGCUAAAAGUUUCCGACUGUUAAAAUGGUGGCAUGUAAGUGGAGGUAUCCUGCUAGGACUUGCACAUUUAAAAAUUUACAAGUGCAUUAGGUCCCUUAGGUUUUAGUUUAAGACCAACAUGAGCGAGUGAGAUAAACUCGACUAGCUUAGGAUAAGGCAUCAAGCGUGAAAUCCACGCAUUAGACCCCUCAGGAUCAGACCCAAAACCUUUUUUCAAUACCAAAUGUGAAAUUACCCCCACCUUACCACAUCGUUGAAGAGUAUUGGUGGAUAUCUUGGGCAAAUGUGCAUUUAUUGGUGGAUAUCUUGGGCAAAUGUGCAAUACUGUGAGGGAUAUCUUGGGCAAAUGUGCAUUAUCUUGGUGGAUAUCUUGGGCAAAUGUGCAACACCAUGAGGGAUAUCUUGGGCAAAUGUGCAAUACCAUGAGGGAUAUCUUGGGCAAAUGUGCAAUACUGUGAGGGAUAUCUUGGGCAAAUGUGCAACAUAAUGAGGGAUAUAUUGGGCAAAUGUGCAAUACUAAUGGAUAAAUUGGUACGGAAGACAAUGUUGUAAGGUUAGUGGAUAUUUAUAAUAAUAGCAAUAAAAUGGGGGGGGGGGGGUGUUCCUGUGAUUAGGAACGAAGUAAGGCAUAAAAAAUACCUGUGGUUCCGGUUUCAUAUCGUGAAAAAAUUAGGGUCGGUAGGUUGGAAAAAAUUUUUUUGAAUAUUUUUUUCAUGGUUUUGGCGUUUUUUUGCUGGGCGAUUUGCAGUAGAGUCUCGACAUCAAUAUUAACUAGAGAUGCGUAUUUCCUAUGGACGAAUUUAGGCAAUUUGGUUCAAUAAUUAGUGUGACAACAGACGCCAUUUUGGCACGCUGUAUGAGCAGCCCGCAAACCACCUGGAGAAAAUAGGGUCAAUCGCGUUGAAAAAAUAAUAGGGUCGGCAGAAAAAAAUAGGGUCGGUUGGGAACCGGAACCACAGGUAUUUUUUUUUACGCCUAAGUCCAAAUUAAGAGGAAACAAUAUGGCGGAGUGUAACAAUCUAACAAUAUGGCGGAGUGUAACAAUCUAAC